CACAUUUUGGCUAAAACUUAAAUCAAAAAAGGAACAAAAUCUUGAAUUGGGUCAAGCAUCUCCCAGUUUAUACCUUUGUGUAUAAGAUCAAGGGCAACGUCACCCAGCUUUCUCAGGCUUAGCCAUAAAUUACAUUUCGUGUGUGUGCAUGGUAAUUUUUUUCCUGCAGUAUUUUUCUCGCUGCUAAACCUGAAGUCCUUACGGCCUUAUCUCCCUUUCCUUCAUGCUGCUCAUAACAUAGGCUACAUGUUCUCUGCUUUGCAAAGGAAGGGAGUAAGAGGCAAGAUGACCUAAGGGAUUUGUCCAAGGUCACACUGGGGUCAGAGGUGAAAGAAGGAGACAGGUUCUGUUCUUGCGACUCUUGACCCACAGCCUUAUCUCCUUAACCAGAUUCUUCUGUUUGGUGUGUGUUCCUUCUCAAGCAAACAGAAUCCUGAUAAAGUGAUGGACUCCACAACCUUAAAAGCUUGAAAAAAGAAAAGUUUGGAAAAACAGGUGCUAAGAAGACUCUAUCAUACUGUUCUGAAGCAUUCACAUGGGUGCUCAAUUCUCUACCAAGCUGUUGUGGCUGGACUUCAAAGUGACCCUUCAGCCUUCACCUGCCCGUUGAGCUAUGGCUGGGAGUCAUUGUUCCUACUCACUGCCCUGAGGUUUUAAAAAGACUGUGCAGACAAAGCUCUGGACACAUGAUGGGCUGUUUAGGAGGACACGCUCCCUCCAAGUUGGAGGUGUGUAUUUGACCCUUUAAAGAUGGUCCAGAGUCACUAAGACAAUGUGUCAGAGAAUUAGGAUGCUUCCAUGCUCUGGGUUGAAUUCUGCUUCACCUACGAAUCCUGCUUUUCUUUUGAGAAAAAAAAAAUGGCACGAAGUGGAAAAGGGGUUCUAUUGGUUAACCUGACAUGGGAUGACUUCAGGCACUGGGAUCCCCCAGGACUGCUUUGGUGCCAAGUCUGUGUAGCCUGCAGCAGGUGGAAGAAGGCCUCCCUGGUCUGGGAUUUAUGGUGUAUCAAGGGUCUUAGAACAGCUGCGCUUGGCUCCCAUUAUGAACUUGUCCAACAGGUAUGCUUUUAUUCUUGGGAAACACAAGCGUUGAAAGAUACAGAAGCAAAAAGAGAAUAAUUUAACAACCAUCUGCAUACUUGCCAUGUGUAAUGAACAGGUAUUAAUGUUUAUUGAUAUUUGCUUCAUACAUUGCUGUUAAUACAAUAAUAUCACUGUCAAGUUGGAGCUGCCUCUUAGUCCUAUUCCAGAUCACCCCCUCCUGCCCAAGAGACAACUCUUUGGAUGAAUUUCAUGUAUAACAUACUGGUCAAAUAUGCGUACUUUGAAUUGAAUCCAUAAACCAUAUGCUGAAGUUUUGAACAUUUUAUACAAAUAUUAUCAUACACUAUUCAUCUUUCUGUAAUUAGCUUCAAUUUCAUUCAACACGAAGUUUCAUUUUAAAGGUCUGUGUUGAUGCCUUUAAAUCUAGUGCAUUUGUUUAAAUUGCUGAAUUGUAGUCCACUGAUGGAUGCUUAAGUUGGGUUUUUAGAUUUUAUCUACAACAUCUGUUUUGCAAGGAUCCAGGCAUCACAUCCUUUACAGAAGGCUGUGCAGAUUCAGAUUUAGGGAUAGAUAAACCAACAGGUGUUUCUGAGACAUCCAUGAGUCUCUCUGGAUGAAGGCUAUUUAUUUAUGUAUUUAUCCUUUCUAAGUUCAAUUUACCAUUCCAGACACUUUUUAUCCCCCUAGGAUGAAUCCUUAUUUUACUCAUAGUGUUGUAUUUUGACUUUGAUAAGACCUUGGAACACUCCCUCAAUAUUUUCAUAUAUGUCUGAACCCCAGGGAAUAAUAUAGAUGCAGAUUUCCAUGGUCUGUCCCUUCAAUUAACAAAACAUGUUCACAAAUGCCAAAAAUCAGCAGCAGAGUUGAGCAGAAUAUCCAAGUUCACUAAUAAACCUUCAGAACUGCUACUCUUCUUCAAUAUCCAUUUAAUUGUUCUCUGUCCCCUUCAGGAAUUCCCAUGCACAAAGUUACUUUUAUCAAACACUCAGUAUGUUUUUCCUUUUCAGAAAUGAGAAUAACAUAACUGAUCAUGUACUAUUUUGCCAUGGCCACCAGGAAGCUCAGAAGGUAAUUUGUUGCUGAGUUGCUGAGAGGGGAUUGUGGCCUUUCUUUGGUGCUGGAGGGAUUUUUUUGUUUUUCCUUUCUUUUGUUUUGUUUUUCAGGGCUAUGCUUGCAGCAUAUGGAACUUCCCAGGCUAGGGGUUGAAUUGGAGCUACCGCUGCCAGCCUACACCACAGCCACAGCAACACGGCAUCUAGGCCAUGGCAGUGACCUACACCACAGCUCAUGGCAACACUAAAUCCCUGACCCACUGAACUGAUGCUGGAGUUUUAUUUUACAACAUACUCCAAAAUGAUACAACUCCUUUGUAUAGAGGCCCUAAUUUAUGUGACCAUAUAAUUACUGUGUAAAUUGUACCCUUUUAAAAUGAAAAGUGACAAAAAAUGUAGCUACUAUUAUUUAUAAUUUUUGAGACACCAUGCUUUAUAUAGAGUGAUAUGUAAAUUAACUUCCUAUAGCUCCAUGAGACAAAUAUUCAUAUUCAGAUAUAGUCUUAUUUAAAUGAUUUGCAACUUUUGAGAAAGAUGCUGAUGCUUUUUUUUUUUCCUCCUUUUUUUAAUAUGGGUUUGGAUCUUUGGGCUAGGAUAUCACUGUGGCUCUUUUCUGACACAUAGUAAGCACUAUAUAUGAUUUUACCUUUUUUUUUUGUUUUGCCCUGGGCUACAGUUUUGUUCCUGUAAGGCACUGAAGGAAACAAACAAAGCAAACACCAUCAUCAUCAAAGCAACAACAAUAACAAAGUAGCUUUAGUGAUAUUUUAGUUUUAUUUAAUUAUUUAUUUAUUUUGUCUUUUUGGGGGCUGCACCCACGGCAUACAGAGGUUCCCAGGCGAGGGGUUGAAUCAGGGCUGCCGGCCUAUACCACAGCCACAGCCACAGUAACACCAGAUCUGAGCCGUGUCUGCGACCUACACCACAGGUCCUGGCAACUCCGGAUCCUUAACCCCCUGAGCGAGGCCGGGAUCGAACCUGUGUUCUCCUCGAUACUUGUCGGGUUCCUUAACCACUGAGCCAGGACGGGAACUCCAAGCAACAUUUUAGUGACAUUUCAAACUGGUGUUCUAAUAUGAAGACCUCUUAUCAUUUUUUCAAGGCUUCUUAUAUCAGAUUUUAGUAGUACUUUGUCUAUAUAUUUUAUAUAUUUUGCUUUUCCGCAUAGGUCUCUGUUACAGAUCUCUUUUCCUAGUUUUACAGAGGUGGAAUCUUGGGCUUCAAGAGGACAAAUUAUUUUCUCGGGGUCACACAGCAUAUGCAGUGUUGAAUGGCAGUUUAUUGCCUGGUUUAUUUACUUCCAGAGACACUGCUCCUAAUUACUAAGCUCUCAUGCCAGUAAUAUAAACCAGUUUUCUUUUUUUUUUUCUUACGCUAACGAUGUUUCCUAUCAGUAUAGCCACUGACUCAGUCAUGAAGUUGUGGGGGGCAUUGGACUUCCUCAAUAAUUAGUAACUUAGGAAUUGUAACUUGAAAAGAGGUUUUUCAGGCAAGAGACGUGACGCGUAAAAAAUUACCAGUUUUUAUCUACCACUAUUUACAAGUCCUCUGUGUGCACAGCUUCCUCUCUUUGUCAGGCCAGGAGGGAAUUCAGCGCCUCUGGUUGAAAACGCCCUGCUUCUCCCUGCCCGGCUGCCUCGCCUCUGAUUGCCUCUCUGCUCCUUCCCUCUAGCCUCAUACUAUUUGGUAUUCAAUUUUUGUUCCUAUUAAAUUAAAAAAAAUAAUUUAAAGUUUUAUUUAAAUUAACAAAAAUAAAAUUUGGGGUUCCCACCGUGACUUAGCGGGUGAAGAACCCGACAGUCUCCAUGACAACGCAGGUUCAUUCCCUGGCCUCACUCGGUGGGUUAAGGAUCCAGUGUUGCUGCAAGUUGCAGUGUAGGUUGUAGAUGCGGCUUGGAUCCAUCAUUGCUGUGGCUGUGGCGUAGGCUCUGAUUUGACCCCCCGUCUGGGAACUUCCAUAUGACACAGGUGCGGGUUAAAAACAAACAUUUAAGUAUUUUAGAUUUUAAAGUUCAGAUUUAUCCUUAUUGUCCCACUAUGUUUGCCUUUGUGUCUCUCUAUCCUGAUUUGGGCUUGGCACUUCUGGACGAGGUUUACGUGAACAGAGCAGGUGGUGACAGGCCCUCCACUGGGCAGGCUCAGAGCUGGCCCUCCUUAGGCUUCUGCUCUUGAGGCACUUUUCUCCCUUGCGUAUUAUCCAGGAUGGUCCUGGAUUUUCUAGGGAAUAAGAGGAGGUUGUCAUAAUGGGUAAACACAGCCACUACAUAAUUUAAUUCAAUGACAAUAAGAAUUUAAGAAUAUGAACAUCAUCGCUGGAGGUGAAUAGAGCAAAACAUGAAUCGACAGGUAUCUCGACAAUAAAGACUGUUCUAGAACAAAUCAUGAUUUGCUAUAACCAAAAAUGCACAGGCACAUAGCAAGAUAGUCAAGGCAAAAAAAGACUUGGUGAAAACUAGCAAGAUCUUUCUCACUG
rnacentral:lncRNA from 1 species